UACGUAGGGUGCAAGCGUUGUCCGGAAUUAUUGGGCGUAAAGAGCUCGUAGGCGGUCUGUCACGUCGGCUGUGAAAACUCGGGGCUCAACCCCGAGCCUGCAGUCGAUACGGGCAGACUAGAGUGCUGUAGGGGAGACUGGAAUUCCUGGUGUAGCGGUGAAAUGCGCAGAUAUCAGGAGGAACACCGAUGGCGAAGGCAGGUCUCUGGGCCAUAACUGACGCUGAGAAGCGAAAGCAUGGGGAGCGAACAGG
rnacentral:rRNA from 1 species